GAUGAACGCUGGCGGCGUGCCUAAUACAUGCAAGUCGAACGAAACUUCUUUAUCACCGAGUGCUUGCACUCACCGAUAAAGAGUUGAGUGGCGAACGGGUGAGUAACACGUGGGCAGCCUGCCCAAAAGAGGGGGAUAAAACUUGGAAACAGGUGCUAAUACCGCAUAACCAUAGUUACCGCAUGGUAACUAUGUAAAAGGUGGCUAUACUACCGCUUUUGGAUGGGCCCGCGGCGCAUUAGCUAGUUGGUAGGGUAAAGGCUUACCAAGGCAAUGAUGCGUAGCCGAAUUGAGAGGUUGAUCGGCCACAUUGGGACUGAGACACGGCCCAAACUCCUACGGGAGGCAGCAGUAGGGAAUCUUCCGCAAUGGGCGAAAGCCUGAUGGAGCAACGCCGCGUGGGUGAAGAAGGUCUUCGGAUCGUAAAACCCUGUUGUUAGAGAAGAAAGUGCGUGGGAGUAACUGUUCACGUUUCGACGGUAUCUAACCAGAAAGCCACGGCUAACUACGUG
rnacentral:rRNA from 1 species